UGAAGAUAAGAGAGUGAAAUUACAAACCAUCUCAGGGAAACAGUUAGGAACCAUGUACAGUAUUGCACACUUAAAACCAGUAAAAGAGCCAACAACAUUAGCUGCUGAAAGCACAUCAGAGGGAAAAACUGGUACUGAAAUUGGAGUUGGUGACGCUGAACCAGAAACACCCACAGAAGAGAUUAGAGAAGUGGAUGGCACUGUAUCUCAUGACAGCAAAGUGGAAAACAUAGAGGUCACAGCAAUAGAAAAAGAGGAAUAUAUAGGGCAAGAUGUGUCAAACAAUGAUACAAGUGAUGCUGAUGACAGUUUUGAUGACAUGCUUACAGAGGAAGUGGAAGACAAGCAAUGGCUUCUGAAAGUAAAAUUGGUAAUGACCAGCAAACACACAGAGAGACUGGAGGCGAAAGUGAGAAACAUAAAAUUGUAUGGCUCUUCAUUUCAUUGCCUGAAACCGAGAAGCUGGAUAAGUGAUGAGGUUAUUGAUGCAUUUUUGAGCUGUGUAGUUGAGAAAGCAGAUGGAAAGGUACAAGCCAUCUCAUCAGUAGUUUCCACUGUCAUUCUCUCAGGCAGAGCUACACAAGUGAAAGUGAAGGUAAAUGUUAACAUACUUUCAUACAUAAAAUGAAAAAAAACCAAUUUCAGUCACUGAGUUAAACACAGUGUGAAACAGCAAAAACUAUGAUAUGUUUGAUGUGGGGGAGUAGUCCAAUAGUAAUACAUGUAAUGAAUCUGGGAAAUACAGUAUAAUGUAUAUUUCAUGGUUUGCCUCACUGGAAACUAUAAUUACAUUUCUAAUUUCUUUUAAAUAAAUACAGAGUGAAUUACUUCAAAAUGAUAUAUUAUUGCUUCCUUACCACACACCAGGUCAUUGGGUUCUUGCGGUAAGAUGUUUUGUAUUGUGCUUCUGGAUUAUGGGCAAUAAAUGUGGCAAUAAAUAAGAGAUUUGUAACACAAAUAUGGUAGUGGUGAUCUACUUUGCCAUGCUGCGGGUUUUCUGGGAGUGCAGUGCAUGCUAAGGAAAGUGGAAUGUGAUUGUUAAAAAUACAUUGAUACUGUCAAUUUACAUUGUUCAUGUAACAUGGAAGAAUACAUUCUGUAAAGAGUUGAUUGAUUUCACAAUAUGAUUAUAUGUUGUGUGUUUCUGUUACAUUACAAAUGAUUAUAUGUUAAUUGCAUACUGAUUGUUGAUAUAUUUUUUGAAUAUAUAUAAAUUUUUUGAGAUAAUCACAUUACCAAUACAUUUUAUGAAUAUAUUUAAACUUACAGAUAGCCUUGAUGAAAAAAAAGGAAUUGUUAAUAAUUGACCCAUUGUGUGAUGAGAUCAGAUAUGAAAGAACAUGCCUGAGGAAUUGGAGGUGAUUUAUUAGAUACUUACUUUCACAGUGGACACUAACUGUUCCAUUGAAAUUGUUUUUAAAGGGAAUGUUACAAUAAUGAGAAUAAUGUCUUCCUAUUAGCUACAAAUAAACAUUGAAACAGCAUAUACUUGUACUGAAUGUACUUAAUAAUGGACUUUGAGUGAACUUGUGUGAUGUGACUCUGGGGAACGACUUCACAGAAUGUGGACACACAUGAAACAGUAGCAUGUUGCAUGAUUGAGAAUGUGUUAUUAUCAACAUGGGGCACAGCAACUCAGGUGACACACUGUAAACUUCAUCAAACGAUUAACUAGUAAAUCCUCAUCUGAUUGGAACAGUAAAAUUAUGCAGCAUCCCAGACAAAGUGAUGGCCACAACUGUGGACCACUCAUCUUAAAGUUUGCAGAAACAUAUUUGCAGCACAAAGACAUCAGUAUGGUGGAAACAACACAGAAGGCUAAUACUGCGUUUAGAAGACAUAUAGCAAUUCUUCUAAUGAAGGAGUCAGAAAGCGUGGAGGACUACUGCAUAUACUGCAACCUUAUCGACUGUGAAAAAGAAAGUGAGGAUUGCACGAUGGUCCAGUGUGUUUCUUGCAAGAGGUGGGCACACAUACCAUGCAUUACAGAAGGAAUCAAUCAAGAAAACCUGACAUAUGAGAAGAAAGAGUACAACUGCAAGACAUGUGCAUAGUUCACUUCAUUAACAAAAAGAAAAAAGGCAAUAAAGAAAACCCAUUAUUUAACUGCCUCUUGUUCAUAACAUAAUGCAACCCAAAGAAAUAUAUUUCUAUGUAUACAUCAGUUUAUAAU